CUGAGUACCGGAGAGAGUAGAAAGACUCUUGACUACAAUGGUUGAAGAUUAUGUCCAUAAGAUCUAAGAGCUCUCACUAUUCGUCCUUGCUAAAGAUAACAUGGGUCAGUUCUGUGGUUCUAAUUCACAAACGGGGUGGGGGGGAUAUUGACAGAAUUUAACACGCGUGAAUUGAGAAGAAGUUUGAUGGCCUGUCUUUGACACCACCUGUUUUUGAGUUCCUUCUGUUUUUUUCCUGACUCUGUUUUUGAUUGAUGUUCAACAGUCGGUGGGAAAGGUUCAUAUAAUGGAUGGUCUCUUAAAUUCUUGUACUGAUUUGUAUUUCUAUUCGUUUCCCCACAUCCACUGGGCACUCCAGUUCGCUAGAUUCCUUUUAUUGGUGUUAAAGUAACUUUUGGUGACGCCUACUCUUAUCUCAUACUUUUACCUCAUGACUGCACUAAACAGGCCUUAAGGUUAGGUAGUAGUCAUUAAUUUAUUUGUAUUUCUGGAGAAUGAGCGUGGGGUUUUGGACAUGCCAAGUAAGCAUUUUACUGAGCUAUAAUCACUGUCCUUUUGGAUUUGAAGAAGAGUCUCAUUAAGUUGCCGAAGUGGCCUUGAACUUACUGCCUACCCUUCCUAGGCCUUGAACUUAUGGUCCUCCUUCCUUGGCCUCAUGGGUAUCUGGAACUACAGAUUUGUUCAGAUUAGAGUAGUACGUACAAUUUAUGGCAUUGCCUAAAGAAAUUUAAACAUAGCUAAAAUUGUGGAAUAUCCCAUUUAAUUCCCCCCUUCUUUUUCCAUUUUUAUCUACUAGGAACUAUUUUGAUGGUCAGGGAAACACUUAAAUGAUUUAGCGUGAAUGACUGAACUGAAUGUAAGGAGCCAGCUUGCUGGGGAUUAAAUAAAUCCUGCUUUCAUUUCGGCGAAGGCCGCUCCAACUAAGUUUUCCAAGCAUUUGUCAUGCAGCAAGGAGAACCACAGGCCCUUAGCAGAAUUCUCCGCUUUCACUCUGCCGGUCUCAGAGGCAAUGCUGUCUGCAUACACCGUCAUGAUAUUUCCGUAACAAAGCACAGUUGACAAAAAGGGAACCGCCAAGAAAAUAGAUUUGUUUCUGCAGAUGGCAGGAGAAGGGAUGGGGUACCUGGCCAUGUUUCACAACACAGUUCACAACAUCCCAGUCUCUCUGCUGCUCAGUCUUUCACAGGCCAGAAGGUAGAAGAUUGUCUGUUUGCAGGAGACUCCCUCAGGAAUCGGUGUGAGAUGUUCAAACGCACCCGGAGUCAGCGUGCUGACAAUGAUCAGGAAAAAAAGAUGAACCCCACGAGCAUCUGGGCUGUGUACAAAGAGCCAUCGCGUCGCAGACUCGGGAGUGAUAUAUGACCCACCUGGAAAAGUGCAUUUAGCUUGGAUAAGCUCGAUUCCAGAAGUACAGGGACCGUUGGAGAGAGUUAAGAGAAAACCGUUUUGAAUGAUGAGGUGACUGGGGAGGUGAGGUUGGGAAAAGGACUUGGGAGGAAAGAUUAAAGCAACUGACUGGGGAACUUCUAAGAUUUGACAUGAUAAGGGCCAACAAAUAUUUGAGCAUAGCAAAUACCAAAGAGACGUUAUUUGGAAUGCUAAAAGCCGUAGAAAGAAAGCAAUCCUGCAAUAUACUAACAAUCUGCCAAUGUAAGGGAGGGAGAGGGAAAAAUUUAAAAAAAAAUCUAGUAACUCCGGAAUAUUCUCUUGAGAGUUUAAGAAGCUUUAAUUCAUAUCCUAUUUGUUACAACAUACAAAGAAGCCCUGGGUGCUGGGGAAAAGAUGAGAUUAUAAGGGGUGGGUGGUGGAUUAUGUUAGUGGAGACGUCCUCUCCUGCUUCACAUUCCUAUAAGUCUAUUAAACACGAAACACUAAUUUAUGUUGAACCUUGCAGUCCGGUGAGGUUUAAAGCAAACUCUGAAAGAAGUCAUUACUUCACAGUGUGCCCUGGAUCCCUGACUGUCACAGGGGAGAAGCCAGUUUUUAAUCUGCAGUUUUCCAAAAACAAUUCAAUUAAAAAUAAUAAAAAAAAAAUCCUGCCCAUAAGGGUUAAUAGCUGCAGAGGUGUCCAACUGAUAUUCAAUCGCAGAACCUCCAAUGCUCUUUUCAUUAAGCCUCUGGUGUCAGAGAGGUUUUUUUUUCCCCUUAGCUAGGGCAAGAUAAUUGUUUUGGGGCUAAUUUCUUAGGCUAUUUAAUAACACCUCCUGCUAGACUUGCCACGUAAACUCAGCAAGUGGAUACAUCCGGAGUAAUGGAAAAAUAUGCGCGCUCAUUUUUAUAGCUCAAAUUCAUACUUCCCUUUGCCAGAGAGAGCCUGCUGUUAGCAAGUGUCAAUGCCGCCUGACCAUGCCGGGUAAGACUGGAUUAGGAGACCAGCUGACAGUGCAGGAAGGGUCCACUCUCCAGCAGGAUUUGUAUGUAAAUUUUAUCAGUUCAUAUUUCUGUAGAUACAAAACACUCGACGGGUUUUUUUUUUCCUUCAGUCAGCAAAAUAAUGAACAGGGCAUGCAAAAGACCCUAUAAGACAGGCUGACACUGGGCCACGCGUGUAAACGGGCUUUGUGGCUUCUUUCCUCCUUUCUUUUAUUUAUCUUUAUCUUUCCUUUCUUUUUCUUUUAAACAUGGCGCUUUGACGGCUCCGUGCCUCUACAGGUCACGACUAAAGUGUGAAUGCGGGAUGCAAACCCCGGUCAUCACACUUUGAGUUGUGCUAAGGGGCAAGCUGUGCAUUACGUUUCCUUGCCCAUCCCUUGGAAGAAGUGCUGUUCUCUCGUCUUGAGGGAAAAGGCAACGUACAUCCUGCAGCCUCUUGGCAGGGCCAGGAGGUUCCAUAGAUUGUCCUGUGAAAUUCCCAUUUGUGUCGAUGGAGAAUCCAGGCACCGGGAAGAGGAAACCCAAGACUCUCACAACAGUGACAGAAAUCUCCGAGCGAAGCAAGAAUGUGAAGCAAUGGUGUGUUUUAAACCUGAGGUACUGUGGUGAUCCAUUAUCCUGCCAGUGACGCUGAGCCUCAGACCUGUGUGUUCACGUGUACCCAGGGAUGACUAACACACGUGGGAUAUUCCCUUUGGUGUGUUUAAUAAUUUUAGUCAAAAUAGGAAACGUACCUACAGUUCACCUCAUGCCAAAUCAAACAAGAUUACUCACAUGACCCAUGUCUCGCUGAUAGAUGAAUUCUGACGGGGAAAUGUCAAAACAUGACGCAUGGCUUUUGAUUUGCACUUAGUCUGCAGGGAGCUGAGCGGUGGCUCUCUCCAAAGGAGAAAAACCCCAGCUAGGGCUUCCCUGGAAACUUCUACAAGAAUUCAUACAGAACUGGCCCCCAGCUGCCAUUUAAAAGGUCUCUUCUCUUGGAGUAUCCAAACACACUCCAAUGUCCUCAGACUGGCCAUUUCGGCCUUCAGCUUCGGAAAGUCGUGAUAACUCAGAAUGACAGCUAGACAUGGAAGUAGAAGAAUGACAAGGAUAAACAGGUAUGGGGGUGGGGGGUGGGGACAGAGCAAGGGCCACACUUACUGUAAGGACACUAAGGCUUCCACAAACCUCUAUUAUCACCCACAAGUCAUAUCAGGUGGGAGCCCUGUGAGGUAACUCUGUUGUCCUUAUUUCAAGGUCAAGACUUAGGACCUUGUGUGUGUAUGUUGUGUGAGUUUGAGUGUGUGUGUGUGUGUGUGUGUGUGUGUGUGUGUGUGUGCCUAGAGGUUGAUACUGAGUACCUUCCUCAGUAGAUGACUACUUUAUCUUUUUGAAGACAGGGCUUUUCACUGAAGCUCACUGUGUUUAUAGACUGGCUGGCCAGUUGACCUAUGAGUUCUAGAAUCUUCUGUCUCUGCCUACUCCCAGAAGAGAGGGGUGACAGGUGUACACCGUGUCUGUCUUUUACAUGGCGUGCUCAGGAUGGCACUCACAUCCUCAUGGCCUUGUGGUAAGAACCACUGACCUGGCCACUUUUGUUGAAAAUCAAGUGCUAUGUAUGGAGUUGGACUUGAAUCCACAUCCAGCAUUAUUAAAGACUUCCAACAGGGUCCUUCUCUUCUUUAUUAGCACCACAAGGUGAUGAACCUUAUCAUACACAUACUUGGGGGAUAAAUACUGAUUUUCUUGUGUGUUUUUAUCCUCUAAUGUCACUUUUGGUGGUUUUAGGCCAGUUUAAUAUAGGUUUUCAGAUUCUAAUUUUUUUCGGUGGUGGGUGUUGGAUGGCUCCUUUUGUAUGAUCCUGAUAAAUGACAGUUGGUUGUACUGUACUGUUUUACUGAGAUAUUUCUUUUUUCUCCCUGAGUGCCAACCACAAAGGGAGGAGAAAGAAGAGGUUCUUUACCUGGAUUAUAUAACCUGGACACACAAGCUAAUAACAUUAAGGAGGGUGACGACAGCCAAUGAGUGCAGACUUCAUUUGUCAGGCCCACUGUUGGAUGGUUUGUGGACAGGAGUUAUUCCAGUACUCGCGACAUGCUGAGCAAAGUGUCACUGUGACAGUUUCACCAAUCCCACAGUGGCCCUAAGUCCCCGAGGAACCAGGUAAGGUUGUAGUAAGUCUCUUGAGGAACCGAUCUUAUGGAGAUCGGACCUCCUUCAAUUACCUCUUGCACUGUCAGCAGGACAGUGUUUAGAAAUUGGGGGGCUCAGUCAAGUAACUUUACUUAAAGGAACAAAUGAACCUUCCCUGACACGUCAGACUGAGUGAAGAACGUCACUAGGAAGACUGUAAUUGUCUAAGCACCUUCCUUCCCUUCUCAUGCUUUCAUUUCUUACUAGAGAGCUGAGGGUGGUCUUGAACCUCCCGUCUUCCUUCCUACACUUCUGCUUUGUAGAUUAUAGAUUAUACCCAUUCAUAUAUAGAUUUACCCAUUCAUGCUGUGUUGGGAUGGAGCUUUCUGCAGCUCUGUAUCUGUCUGUUUCAUCCUGCCGAAGGUGAUUGUGGGGGAAUACUACAGAUACAGUGCCAUACUGACUGUGCACUUGUGACUUGUGCACACACACACACACACACACACACACACACACACACACACAUGUCCCCAGUAGAUACCAUGUUAAUUCAUACACCUGCAGGAGAAAAGCUUCCUUUUAAAAUGCCCAGCCAAGUGAGAAGAGCCUAUAGGGAUGACUUAAAAUAUUCAAAGGUGAUGCUAAGGAAAGAGAGAAGAAGGCUGAGGCAGUGUGACAGCUCUGUGGCCUAAACAUGAACAAAUCAUGCCACAGUUACGGUUGGCUAACUGUGUGUCAGUCCACUGCAGAGGGACAGAGAGCAGAGCAGAACGGGGGAACACUGAAAGACGCAGGUUAGAAACUGGGAGAAGUUUCGCAUCAAAGAAAAACAAACAAAAGAAAUUACAAGCUCUCUUUUUAUUGGAAAGAAACGAAGACUUGGGAUAUAUUGAAUUAGAAGCACCCGUAAAAGAAGAAAGCGAGCAAGGCAAGCCCAGACCUGCCCGCGGAGAGAGGUGGAGCCGGGACCUGUCACAGUUGUGUGAAAGUGUCUUUAGCUGAUACAGCAGCAUUCUUUUCGAAGCACUCAAGCACACAAGAGAUUUCUCAGAGUUUCCACUCUGAAUCAGGAAGUUUUGUGUCACAUUCAUUAAUUUUUAAUACCGAGUGAGUUUCCUAAACCCUCAUUAUUCCCUUUUAUACUUUGGUGUGAGACUUCUGUUUCAUUGUGUAUAAAAAUAUAUCAAAAUGAAGCUGAUUGUUUUAUCUUAGCCUUAGAUUUCGAGGAAAACUUCAGUAUCUCUUGGGUAUUAAACAUACAUUGGGGCAUUCUCCCUCCCAUUAACUUUGCUUAAUUUAAAAUGGCAAGAGAGACAGAGAGAAACAGAGAGGGAGGAAGAGAGAAAGACAGAGACAGAGAGAUACAAAGACUGAAAGACAAACAGACACAGACAGAUAAACAGAAAGACAGAGACAGAGAGACACAGAGAGGGAGGAAGAGAGAAAGACAGAGACAGAGAGAUACAAAGACUGAGAGACAAACAGACAGACAGAUAAACAGAAAGACAGAGACAGAGAGACACAGAGACACACACACAGAGUCAGACACAAAGAAAGACAGACAGAGAGACAGACACAGACACACAGAGAGACAGAAAGAGGGAGAGACACCUGAGUUGACUUCAGACCUCCAUAAGCAUGGUGACACACAUGUCUGCAUGUGUACAUGCACACACAUGAACAAAUAUAUGUGCUUCUCUUUCUGUCUGUCUCUCUGUCUCUGACUCUGUGUGUGUCUGUGUCUGUGUCUCUCUGUCUCUCUGUCUCUUUGUCUCUGCCUCUCUGUCUCUGUCUCUGUCUCUCUGUUCAUUUACUAUCUAGAUGUUUGAGGGCACUUAGUCUGCCUAAUAAUAAGGUAGCCAUUUUUCCCAGGUUUUCUGGCACAAUCCAGUUUAUAUGUCUAGCUCUGGCAUUAUUGUCAGUAGUAGCUGUUUUCACUGUUAAAGAUAUCUAAGUUUAACCAAGAAAUCAUAUCGUUACUUCAACCUGCCCUUAAGGAAUCGUGAGAGGCAGGUAUCUAAGGUGCCAAACCCUGAAGAAUUUCUCCACAGUCCAUCAUUCGACUUACUGUGAAGCCAUAGGCAAUCACCUGUCUACUCUGAGAUCAAUUUUGCCAUCAGGAGCAUAUGGUUAAUAAUAGCCCAUACAGUUACUGAGAUGACAUGGAUGCAAUGGUGUUAUAUGUGGGUGGGCACACAAGUGGGGUGCCAUGACUACCAUGUAAGACGGAUGUGCGUUGACUCAAGGUCAUGGAUUUUUGCUUAGUGAUCAGCAUUUUGGGAAGAAAACACCUCUUAGUCACAUCCGUCCCUAUCGCCACCACCCCACCAGUCACCAAAGGAGGCUGGUCAUAAACACUAGCCGUGAUCCAUUUUCCCCUCUCAGUUCACACUUACGCUGCUCUGGGAUGUUGUGUCUUCGAUGCUUGGGUGUUUUCCUGGUACCCACGGCAGGAAUUAUUAUUAUUCUGUGGUCACUUCAAAGGGCUUUGCUUUACCAAGAGGACGGCAUUUGGCACUGAGCAGCCAUCCAGCAGUUAUAUGUGAGCUUACUUGCUAUAAGGAUGAAUGACUCAGAGCAUGGUAAAUGUCCCCUCAGUGUAGAGCAUACAUUUCUACCCUUGGGCCCUCUGGGAAGAACUCAGACCCUUCUGUCACGUGAGGAAGUUUCCUUGAAGUCCACAUCUUCAAGUGGUUUCCACCUAUCUAGUUGUCCACCUGUUUCUACUUUGAUAUUUUUUGAGAUUUAGGAAUUUACUAGCAUGUGCCUUAUGUUUUCAGACAGUGAGUUCCUAAGAUACAUCUUGCCUGGUGGCAUAUGUCUGCCUGUCUGACUGCACGACAUACCCUAGUGUGAGAGAGGGUGGGGACCUUCUCAGCUGCUCCUAGAUAGCUCAGAAGUUCUUCCUCACCGCAUUUACCUUGCAACUUUGAACAUGGUGUGUGUGUGUGUGUGUGUGUGUGUUUGUGUGUGUGUCUACAAGCAUGUGUGUGUGCAUGCUUGAGUGUGUAUCUCUAAGUGUGUGUGUGUACACAUGCACCGUGUACGUCCAUGAAUGUGGAGGCUGGAGGACAACCUUGAGCAUCAUUUGAUGCCACGCACAUUUUUAAAGGGGCAAAGGGUUUAGAACUCAUCAAGCAGGCUAGGGUGGCCUGGGACCACCACAUCCCAGGGAUAUAUGCAUCUCCACCUCCCCAGAACUGGGACCACUUAUCAUGGAUCUGAUUUUUUUCUAGGGGUGCUGGGAACCAAAUUCAGAACCUAAAACUUAUAUGACAAGUCCUUUGUCAACCGAGCACCUCCCAGCCCUGAUAGAGUAUGUCAUGUCUCUGAGUCUCGGUCUCUUGUUUGUAAAAACAGGAAUAUCCUUGUACUUGUCGGAGUUUUACAGAUUAAAUGUGACAAUCUCUGGAAGGCCUCCAAGCCAUGUAACAUGAAUUCGCCUCAUGCCACUCAUGCCAUUGCUUCUUGACGUCGGCUAAAACGGUUAAUGACACUGGGUCAAGAGACACUGGCGGAGACCAGCCUGCGUUGUCUCUAGUGAAACAGGGAGCCAGGUGCUACCUGCCUAACUCCGUCAGAGUGUCUGCAAAACACAUCAUGGAACCUCCCUCGCCUGUCGGGGUUUUCUCUUCCAAGUCCCCACAGCUGCUCGACUUUGAGUGGGCAUGGUUUAUUAAUGACCUUCCCUGACUGGGCAUACGUGUUUUUGGAAUCCAUUUCCCUCAGGACCCAUGUACAUGAGUUCUCCUUAGACUUUAGGAAAAGCCUCAGUGAAUGGCAUCAGAAAUGGCAUUCCCAGGUCCAGGGUCCACUCAGCCCAGCUCUGCACUUAGGUGUCCUUCAUGAUACAGGUUCCUGGAUAUACACACAUCCAGGCAUGGUCUCCAGGAAGUGCUAUGGCUGCAGAUGCAGUACAGCCAUACAUCACUUGCCUAGGAUAUGAAAGCCAUGGCUCAAAACACGGUCUCACGACCAUCCAAAACCAUACCACCAGCAAAAAUAUUUAAACAUCUAUAGUCUCACCAUUCAGGAGUCGAGGCAAGAGGGUUGUUGUGAGUUGCUGGUUAGCCUUGGCUAUGUAAGUGAGCUUCAGACUUUGUGUAAGUUAUGUCUCCCUCCUAAGAGUGCUCUGAGGAGACCACGCUCUCCUCGGCACUACACUCAUAGAAAACCACUGACACAGCCCAUCCUAUUCUUUCUCUUCCUUAGGCUUGGAAUUUCUAGAGCAGGUUUUCACUGACGAUGCAGCAGACUGCCGGGUAUCCAUUUGUGUGAGAGAUGAGAAGGUUUGACGCACAAAGCCACCAGAAUCUUGGCAACAUUGAGUCAAUGGCACCUAGCACAUCACAGUAUUAUAAUCGGCGUUUGCCCAGCUCCCUUCCCCCUUACUUGCAGAAACCAAAACCAAAACCAAAAACAAACCACUGACUUCCACUAAGAAUGUCUUUUAAGGACAGCAAAAACUAUUGCAAAAAUCCAAAUCCCUGAACAUGUAUCAUUAACAUGACUUAUGACAGAAGCAAAAUGCCUCCAAAACAUAGUUCAAUGUCUAGGAAGAUGGCUCAGCGGAAAAGGGAGCUAACUAUGCAAGUGUGCAGUCCUGAGUUCAAAUCCCCAACAUCUCAGUAAGACAGGGGAACAUUACUGCACAGUCUUAUGAUGCCGGCACAUGGAGCAGAGAUCCUGGAACUUUCUGGCCAGCCUAGCGACAAGCUUGAUGUUUAGAGAGAGAUGAGAGAACUUCCUCACACUCGUGUGCAUGCAUUACGCACACACACACACACACACAUACACAUACACACACAUACACACACACACACAUACACACACAUACACACACACACAUAUGCAGUCCAAUUCCAGCAGAAGUCCGUCUUGUUGAAAACACUUGUGAACUCUUAGUGUCAGGGGCUGAACCCGAUGUCCCUGCCAUGAAUGUCAUCUCUACUUCAGGAGCAGCUAGCAGACACACUAGGGUGGACUUGUGUGCUCUGCAGAGAUAUUCUGUAGCAAACGAAUAAAGAGCCUGUCGCUGCAAGGAAGACACCCAAUGAGAGGUGUUGCCAAUGACAUAAACACCCAGAUACAAAGCGUCACCUAACGAAAGAUGUGAGCCUGCCCUGUGAGCUUGAUCCUUUCCCACAUCCUUGAGAUGGGCUAUUCUGAUGCACUCGGUGCUGACGGUCACAGAAGUGUUCCUUCGUAGGUGUGCAACUGUGGUGGCAUUUAGGAAAUUCUGUAUGUCAGUGAAACUAUUUUCCAAGUGAGCAAUUCGCGAUGUCUCAGCAUCCUGCAUGUAAUCUAUGGGGAAAUAUUUGCUUCAAAUGUAAGACUUAUCAAAGCAUUUUACUAUAAGCAAGCUUUAACGUUUUCUUUUUUUUUUUCUGUGUGUGAAUGUGACCAUGCAUGAGUAUGAGCACGUGAGUGUGGAUGUACUUGGAGUCAAGGAGAGGGCAUCGGAUCUCCUGGGGAUGGAGUCAUAGGUAGCUGUGAGCUGUCUGAAGGUGCUGGGAAUUGAACUCUAAUUCAAAGCAGCAAGCGCUUUCAAUGACUGUACCACCUCCCUGUCCCUAACAACAGAGUUGUUAAACUAAACAUGGUUUCAAAUCCCAUCUUGCAAUUGGCCUCUACUCCAGAAGGUUUGUCACUGAGCAGAGAAUCAAGCUUACUUGAAAAGGUCAUUAGAAUAUUCUUUCCUAGCAAUUCUUACCUACCCAACACAACACCUCAAUAUGACAGACGGGCCUAGAAGGGGAGAGGAGAACGUAGUUCCCUCAACUCAAGCCUCAAACAUAUUCACAAAACAUUCAAAUAACAUCACUUCUCUUCCUAAUCUUCCAUUUUAGAAAUGUGCUUAUUUUUCUUUAAAAAGAAAAUGUGUUUUAUGGGGCUAGCAAGAUAGACCAGCAGAUAAAGGCCUUUGCCACCUCAAAAGCAAGCUUAGCAACCUGAAUUUGAUCCCAAGGCCUCAAGGGAAGCUAUGGGGAGAGAAAUGGCUCCACGAGGUUGUCCUCUAACCUUGAAGUGAGUGGAUGCACACACAUAAUCAUAUAUUAAAUUACAUUUUAUAAUGUGUCACAUGAAAUGGGCUUGUUAUGACUCUUUUAUUGAAUUAGCAAUGGCUCAUGCACGCACAAUAAUAAUAAAUUAAAAUUUAUAAUGUAUCACAUGAAA